rnacentral:lncRNA from 1 species
AUGGUAUUUCAAAGAAGAACAUGAAAAUAGAGAAAAUGCAAAGGUGUUUAAGGAUGGACGUAACCUUAGUAGAACAAAUCAAUCAUAGGUAUGAAGUAAGUCAUUAAAUAGUAGUCAUUUAUUUGAUAUACAAGUUCCUUCGGCCAAUUAAUUAUUCCUUCAAUAUUAUAAACCCACUUAUAAAGCUUCAUAGUCAUCCAAGGUUCGGUUCAUGCCUUUGAUACAUCAAGAUUAGAAGAUUGGUUGGUUUCAAGAUCGUAAACAUCCUCUCAAUUCUUGAAUAUCCAUGGUCAACUCUUUGAAUAAAUGCUCCAAGAGGUAUGAUGCCCUUAGAGGAAGAGACUUUGAAUGUAUAGUUUGGAAGAUAUGUUACUUAGUUUUACAAUUUACUUGAUUAUAUAACGGAAUCAUUGUAAAAAGUAAAGAGACUCUCACGUCACGACGGAUAGAUAUUACUUUGUUUAAGUAGUGGCAAGUAUGUAGGAAUGGAUUUUACUGGACCGCCGUCCUUGGUCCGAAAAAAGUGCGGACACAAUACCACACACGAGGUUGGCAGUACUGUUUUUCAUUAUGAUGCCAAGUUUGAGUGCAAUCUCUAGGCCGGUUGGCUUGUAACAGCCGGAUAAGUAAAUCUACCUCUAUUUUUUUGGUUGCGAACAAAAUUUCACGUGCUGAAAAUGUUAGAAAAAGCUUUUGGUGAAAUAGUUUGAUCAAAACCUGUACAUAUGAGUGGUAUAAAACUUUCACGGAGGGCCGUGAGAUCGUAGAAGACAUGCCACGUUAUGGACAACCUAAGUCCUCUACUACCAAACUAAACAUCUGUUCACUGAAAGAAAUUAUGUGGAAAUAUUUUCAUACCAGAUUAAAUGAGUUAUUACAUUG